UACGUAGGUCCCGAGCGUUGUCCGGAUUUAUUGGGCGUAAAGCGAGCGCAGGUGGUUUAUUAAGUCUGGUGUAAAAGGCAGUGGCUCAACCAUUGUAUGCAUUGGAAACUGGUAGACUUGAGUGCAGGAGAGGAGAGUGGAAUUCCAUGUGUAGCGGUGAAAUGCGUAGAUAUAUGGAGGAACACCGGUGGCGAAAGCGGCUCUCUGGCCUGUAACAGACACUGAGGCUCGAAAGCGUGGGGAGCAAACAGG
rnacentral:rRNA from 1 species